UAAAUUGAAAUGUAGGAAAAUUUUGAAACUCCCCAUGAUUGUGAUGACGUCACAUGUUAAAGUUAGGGAAUUCCCAUCAAUGUUGAUCAAACUGGUUCCUCCAAACUCUCGAUGCUUCAUGGUAAAAGUACAUCACAUGUCUGACUAUUCACUCACAUAAUCAAUAUGUAAUCCAAUAAACCUGUAUCAUUAGUUGCAGCUGAGCUUAUGGAAACGCAAGAAACCACAGUAUCAACUGUAGAAAAAAAGCAAGAGAAUGCAGAAGGCUUAAAAGAAACGACACUUACUCACUCAGCAGAAAACAUUAAUCAAAUACUAACCAUACACUUAUAUUUUCAAACUGAUCAACUGCUAAUAAAUGUGCUAGAAGACUAAUAUUUUACAGUGACUCCUAUGUAACCUGAAUACAAUGGAAAAUUACAGGAGGCUGUGACUUGUAUUCUUAAUGGAAAAUUACAGAAUAAAGACUAAUAUUUUUUAAGGGAAAGUUGGGGUAACUUUCCACAAUGACGUUAUCACCCAAGAACAGGAAAUCAUUGUGGUGCCAAGAAGGACAGAUGGUAUUUUAAGGAAUGUGUUAGGGGGAGUUGUGGGGUGCACAGUGUAUAAAAUGAAUGUAAAACUGACAAUCGAGGUUCAAUUCUGCAGAGUUGAUCCGGCUUUGUGCACCUGUGCAAACAAAGUCUAACUUUUCUGAA